rnacentral:lncRNA from 1 species
CUGGAGGCCACCCCUCUCAACAGUUUGCAAGUGGCUCUUCGUUUCUCAGACUCGGGCAGCCCAGGAGGAAGAGAACACAGAUCCAGGAGAGAGCAGGUGAAACUGCUCAGAAGACAGUGGCCUAGAGGGCUUAGAAUUCAGGGUCAAGGUUCCAUUCCUUGUCCUUCACUGACAGGCGCUAACAAGCACAAGAGAGAGCUUCUUGCUGUGUGCAGAGGGGAGACCGGGGAUAUUUUCAACAUUAACAGAUCAUUGAACAGGAAGAUGUAGCACGUUUUGCUAAGUAUUGUCACUCAUCUAAAUGGAACAAAUGUGACAUAGCACAGGAAAUUCACAGGUAAUGUGACCUUCUCCUCAAUUUCUCUUUCUUGUGAUUAUGAAAGAAAUUUUUUUAAAAAGGCAAGUAUAUCUUGUACCCCCAAAGAACAGAGUUUAAAUUUGGAAUUUCUUCUUCUUUUUUGGCUGAUACUUAGGAUAAAACAUAAAGCAACUUAUUAAAAAGAAACAAUUAGGC